CCUACGGGGGGCAGCAGUGAGGAAUAUUGGUCAAUGGCCGGAAGGCUGAACCAGCCAUGCCGCGUGAAGGUCAGUGCCCUAUGGGCGUUAAACUUCUUUUGUGCGGGAGCAAUAAUGGUCACGUGUGGCCAGACGAGAGUACCGUACGAAUAAGCAUCGGCUAACUCCGUGCCAGCAGCCGCGGUAAUACGGGGGAUGCAAGCGUUAUCCGGAUUUAUUGGGUUUAAAGGGUGCGUAGGCUGUGAGGUAAGUCAGCGGGGAAAUGCCCGCGCUCCACGGGGUGAAGUGCCAUUGAUACUGCCUUGCUGGAAUGCGGAUGCCGUGGGAGGAAUGUGUGGUGUAGCGGUGAAAUGCAUAGAUAUCACACAGAACACCGAUUGCGAAGGCAUCUCACGAAUCCGCGAUUGACGCUGAUGCACGAAAGCGUGGGUAUCAAACAGGAUUAGAUACCCCGGUAGUC
rnacentral:rRNA from 1 species